rnacentral:lncRNA from 1 species
GAUCAUUGAGUUGUGGUUUGGUAGGUCCAUUUAUUAAACGAUUCUGAUUGAUUUGACUUAUUUUGUUAUGAUCUUCCUCUGUCAAUGUCCAGUUAAAUAUCUGCAGAUUUUGAUUCAUCCUUCCCUUAUCAUAGCUCUUAGGCACGAAAGUCACUCCUUCUUCAUACAACCAUCUCAGACAAAUUUGAGCUAUGGACUUUCCAUGAGCAUCUGCAAUCUCUUUCAGAACAUCAUUCUCCAUCACUUCAUUUGGACCCUUGCUUGCACCUUUCCUCAGAGGAGAGAAUGCAGUUAUCACUAUCCCAUUUGCAUUGCAGAACUCUCUCAGCUUCUUCUGUUGCCAUGCAAGAUUCAUCUCCACCUGAAAUAGUUGUUGAAUUACAAAUAAAUAUUAAUUCAUCUUAUCAGGAACAAUUCACAUAAACAAAUGAAAACUAAAACAACACAAACAAGAUUAUUACUUGAUUCACCACAGGAAGGAUGGUAGCAACAGACAACAAAUUCUCAAGUUUCUUCACAGAAAAGUUGCUAACACCAAUAGCUCGUGUAAGGCCAAGUUUUUGGCACUCUUCCAUGGCUUCCCACACACCCUUCACAUCAAAAGGCAAGAGAUCUUCAACCUCAAUUGGAAAUGAGAAUUUCCCAGGCUGAGAACUGAUGGGCCAGUGAAUGAGAUAGAGAUCAAGAUACUCUAGUUGAAGAGUUCUGCACACCAAAAAGUUAGUGUUGGUCAAAUUGUCUAUGGUAUUUGAAAAGCAUGUUAAUCUGAAGCAAAACAAGUUACUAGUUAAAUUAUCUACAUAAACUUUUGUUAUAGUUUAGGGUUUAGGAUAUAAACUUUUGUUAUAGUUUAGGGUUUAGGAUUUAAUUCAUUUUAUCAGUAUAUUUUUUUAUAUUUUCAUAAUUUAUACCCACUUGCUGCUUAUUAUUAUUAAGUAUUAAAAAGUGAAUUUUAAGUCUAAUUCAAUUUCAUAACUUGAUAAGUCUAACAAAUUAUCAUUAAGAUAAAUUCAAAAUGGUUCUGCUACCGUAUUACGGAACAAUCUUUAAGCUUAACUCAAUAUCAUAAAACUGGUUUAUAAAGUAAAGUUUGCAUUUAUAUAAUACAAAAAAAUUUAUAUAAUACGAAAUGUUCAAAUCUUUACUCGAUAUCAAACAUGCAGUUUUUUAAAAAUGGACAUAAAUUGAGUUGAAUGACCUGAGUGAUUUGCGCAAGGCUGAAACAACAAGAUGAGGAUGAUUGUCAGUGACCCAAAGUUUGGAAGUGACAAAGAGAUCUUGACGAGAGACAAGGCCAAGGUCUACUGCUUCUUUGAGAGCUUCUCCAAGAGCUUGCUCAGAGCCAUAAGCAGCAGCAGUGUCAAAGUGUCUGUAACCCUGCUUUAUGGCCUCAAUGAUUGCCUCUUUUGUGUCUUUCUUACAAGUGAAAUCUGGUGCAGACCCCAUUCCAACCACUGGCACCCUCUGCUGGGAAGAGGAAUUUGGCAGCACCACUGUGGGGAUUUCAACAGCAACCAUUGUAGCAAGUGCUAAUUUACUAGUAUAGUUUUUUGUAGUUUUAGUGUAAUGUAACACUACUUGUUGCAGUUGAUGGAACUACUGGGGUGGUGGUCUCCCUUUUAUACAACAAAAUUGGUGUCUUCAUCUGCUUCUAUUGUCUUUGAAUUCCACCUUUGAAAUGUCUGCAAUUUGAGGUUAGGUGAGUUAAGGUGAGAUCUACCUCCAUUCAUUUCAUUCUUAUUUUAUUCAACAGUAGUUGACUUGUGUUCUAUACCAUUUUGGAUCAAUGUCUGUCUAUUGUCAUCAUCAAUUUGAAUAUGAUGAAAUAAUAAUAUUCAAUUGCAUUAAAACAAAAGUUAUCUUCAACUACACAAUAAUUUUCCAUGGUAUCUUAAUCAUGAACCCUUUUAAUUAUAAAUAACUGCAGAGGGUCCUGUUAUUGUGUAUUUUUUUCAUCUUUUGCAUGAAACUGAUCAAUGAUUGAGAACUUGUCUAAAAAAAUUGGAGGAAAUCUUGUAUCCACGAUCUUGGUGGUUGAAACUCCACCUAAAACAUAAUUUAUAAACUUCGAUAUGCCAUUAUGUGUAUAGUGAUCUGUAACAUUCAUUUGUUAUUUUAUCUAAUGUAAGAGACCGACAAAGAUAUACACCACAAACAUGUUACUGAUGAAUAUGUUGAGUAAUUGAAAGAUGGUGAAAAUAUUGUUUAGAUAUUUAAAAUGUCUAUAUACUAAUAUAUUUCUCGAUUAAUUACGGAUCAUCAUGCCCAACUAAAAUCCGAUUCAUUAUAGUAAAGAUUUAUAGUCUAACACUGUAAAUAAAUCUUAUAAAAAAAGUAAAGUACGUUUUAAUCAAUUAUCAAUAUUUAUUCUUUACCUAGGAUAUUUAUUUGAUUGUCGGAUACUUAUUUGAUUGUCGAAGUGUUUUUUUCAUAUGCACUUUGAUUGAAUAUCGAUAAAAAAAACUUAAAAAGGAAGAAAAAAAAAUCACCGACAUGUUAACAAUAAGGUGAGUUUGAGUCUCAGGUACUAUUUUAGGUACAAUUUUACAUUUGCUUGUUUUGGAAAAAGUAUUGUGAAUGCAGAAAAGUAAGCUUUUACAUGAUUCUUUGAAUCUGUCUCAGCAAGUUCAGUUCAUGAUUCAUCUUUUUUUAUGAGUUCAUUACGUGUUAUCAAAGCAUGAUGAAUCAUACAACAUUACAACUUUGGUGGCACUCAUGUGUUAAAUGCGUAAAAGAUCAAAUAUAGGAUCAAAUGAAUAUUACAUCACACACUAAAAAAAAAAAUCAUUAAGUAAAAAUUAAUAUUAAAAAAAAAUAUUUUAAUUUUUAAAUUAAUUUCUAUUAUUAUUAAAUAGUUUCUAAAUUGGUAUCUAGCUACCAAAAAUUUUGCUACCAGAUUUAGAAUCUAAAGUAAUUGGUAGUUAAAACUUUAGUAACUAAUUAACAAUUUAGAAACUAUCUAACUCAGAAAUUAAUUUAGAAACUAAAAAAGAAAAUCUCAAUCUCUACUAAUUAUUUUUUUUCUCUAAAAUUUGUUUCUAUUUCAUAAUUUUCUGGUACUACAUCUCUAAUUAUUAUUUUUUAAUAUUUAUAUAUUUAAACAGUAAAAUAUAAAUAUUAUGUCAUUUUAAAGAAUUUACUCUCUCUAACAAUGACACGUGCAUUUUAAACAGUAAUUGCUGAAAUUUCCACACAUUUAUAGAGCAGAUGGAAAAAAUUGGAUUGUAGCAUUUAUUCAAAUACAUUUUUGAUUUAGUGAGUGAACCUGUUGAAGAAGAAAUUUGGAGUCAACAUUUGCCAGUCAAAGUGAUGCACAUGCUUUAGAAUUUCUUUUACCACUUAUGACAACGAUUUUUGGAACUAUUUCUUAUAUAUUUUUAUUUUCUUUUGUUUUAAAAAAAAUUAUCACCUUUAAAUACGAAGAUGGUUAUUGAACUUGCAUUUAAUUUAAUAUAGCAAUAAUUUUCAUCGUAUGUGUAUUUGUUUUUAAUUCUUGUUCUGUUUCGUUAAUAUCUUCAACAUAUUUAAUUUAAUAUCAUAGACUACGAGACUUAGACACUUCUUUUAAAUGACGUAUCCAUGUCAGACACAUGUAUCGGUGUCGACACUCGUACUCAUAGGAUACUCAUCGGUGAAGUGUUCAAUUCAAAAAAUAUUUGUUGAAUUUUUGAAAAUUCUAGCACGGUUCUAACACAAUUUUAAAAUGUAUAAAUACAAUAAUUUUCUAAAAACUCAAAUUUAUUUUAUAAAUUUUUAUUAUGAUUAUAAAAAUAAGAAACAAAUUCUUUUGAACCAGUCAUGAAAAAUAUCUUCCUACUGUUGUCAAAAGAAUCUAAAACAUACUUUUGCACAUAAAUAUUUAUUUUGAAUUUAUAUAAUUCAAAAUUAUAUGAUAUAUAGAUUUGUAUCCCUAUAUCCUUCAUUUUAGAUAUUAUAUGUAUCUCUGUGUCUGUAUUCGUAUCGUAUCAGUAUCUGUGCUAAACAGAUGAGAGAUAUAAUUAUUUACAAAUUAUCAUAUUUCAGAUCACAUUAAAAGUAUAAAAGAAUUCUGAAUAUGUAUAAAUUAUUAAAAGUAUAAAUAAAGUGUUAAAGCAAAACACUGUAAAAGUUAUAUCACAUCUAUAAAAGCUAAAGCAUUGGUGUAUUAAUAUAUUAUAUUAUAUUAGUUUAUCACAACUUUUAUCAGAUUAAACUCAAGUAAUAGCAGUUAUUUAUUAUAUUUUAUAAUAGUCACACGUUUGUUUUAUUUUUUAUUGUUAUUUAUAAUUAUAAUUUUUAUUAAUUAUUAUAAUUAAUUAAUAAUUAUAUUUUUUAACAUAAAUUUAUUUAACGUUUAGUUUUAUUUAUUAAAUAUUAUUUUUUCAUAUUAUAUUAUAUUUAAUUAUGUAAAUUUAUUUUAAAUAAUAAUAAUUUGAGUUUAAAAUAUAAAUUAUGAGUAAUUAAUUAUAUAAAUUAUAGAUAUUUUUUAUUUUUCAUAUUUUAUUGUCUUGAUUUUCGUGUUUUUUUUUUAGGAGUUUCUUUUUCCUAUAGCUAUUCAAGAUUUUUGUUAAGAAUUCAAUGUUCAUGGGGCCUCAAAAGUUGACUAAGUUCUUGAAAAUUGUUCGGUCAUAUGAUAAGGUUGAUAAUGUUCAUAUUCAUCAUUAUUAUUAAUCAUUUUAGAUUAAUAAAAAAUAAUUUUUUAUUAGUUUUUAACUUAUUUAGUUCUCUUUUUUUAAAAGUAAUUGAAUAUUGAUUAAUUUUAUGUAAUUAUACCACUAAUUUCUAUUCUUUUUGUCUAACAAAAACAUAUUAAUUCUUCAUUUGGUAAAUUCAAAGAAAAAAAAAUUGUUAUCAAACACAAGUUAUUAUUAGUCAAAUGUUAAUAACUCUUUCUGCUGGUCAAGCUUUACUGUGUUAUGUCUCGAUAAGUUUUAAAAGUUUUUGCAUCAUUAAAUAAAAUAUUAUAAUAACAACUCCAUCACAUAGAAUAAAUUCAUUUUAUUUUUAAUAUAUUCGAAGAUAAGAAUUCGAGUUUAUUAUUUUAUUAUAUAUUUAUGAUAAAAAAUUCAAUAAUAAUAAAAAGAUCUCAAUCAAAGUAUUAUAAUGUCAUCACUCAUAGUAACUCUAUAUAUUUUUUAUAUAAUCUCUAACUUUAGCAUAAAAAAAAUAUUUUGUAGAUGAACUUUCGGUUCGAUAUUUAAAUAAAUUCAAAGUUAAUCUUCUCUGAGCACACAGCUCCAUACAAAAAUUUCAGCUUUUCAAUAGUUUUUUCAAAAACACGUUGUUUUAUGACAAAGACAUAUAAAGGUUAUUAUAAAAUGAUUUUUAAAUUUAUAUUUAAAUUAAUUAUUUAAGUUUUAGUGAUUAAUAUUUUAAAUUUUAAAUUAAUUUUUAAAAAAUUAAUAAGAACUAAUUUAAAAUAUAAAAUAUUAAGUAGUUAAAACUUUAGUAGAUAAUGAUUAAAUAUUAAUAUAAAAAUUAUUUUAUAAAAUAUUUUUAUUAAUAGUAAAAAGUACUUUAAAUAUCAAUAAUUUUUUAAUUUAUAAAAUAUUUUUAAUUUAAUCAAAUAAUACUUAAUUAUUUUAAUAUUUAAAAUUAAUUUUUAUUUAAUAAUUUUCUUGUAAUAUACCUACUAUCUAUUUAUUUAUUUAUUAUUUACUUUCCUAAACCAAUGAAACAAUUACUUAUGAGUCAACCAUUAUUUUACUCGUCACUGUUUACAAGGUGAUAUUUGUAGGGACGUGAAUGGUUGAAAAGUAAUAAUAUAAUAUUAAUUUAGUAAUAAUUUAUUUAUAAUAGGCUUUACCACUUACCCAUAUAUUGUAUUUUACUCUCAUAAACCUAUUAACCUUCAAAACUUAAUUUUUUAUACUAUAAAUCUCAAUAUUAUUAUUUUAAUUCUUUUAUAUUAUUUAAUUCUAAAUUUAUUUUUUAUUAUUUAUUUAUUUUUAAAUCCAUCACAACAUUUUUUUCAAAUGUAUAAUUGUAUUUUAGUAGAAUGAGAAUACAUUUGAGAAAAAGAAAAACAUAUUAUGUAGAAAUGAGUCCAUAUAUAGUUUCAUUUCUUCAGAAAACAAAAUGACAAAAGUUCAUUCAAAGUUCAAAAGCAACAUGAAGUUUAAAUUCCAAUCGAAGACAAAUUCAACGUCUGAGAGUUGUAGUUUAUAUUUCAUCAUCCCAAAGAUCAUUGAGUUGGGGUUUUGUGGGUCCAUUGAUCAAACGAUUCUGAUAUAUUUCACUUAUUUUCUCAUGAUCUUUCUCUGUCAAUGUCCAGUUAAAUAUCUGCAGAUUUUGAUUCAUCCUUCCCUUAUCGUAGCUCUUAGGCACGAAAGUCACUCCUUCUUCAUACAACCAUCUCAGACAAAUUUGAGCUAUGGACUUUCCAUGAGCAUCUGCAAUCUCUUUCAGAACAUCAUUCUCCAUCACUUCAUUUGGACCCUUGCUUGCACCUUUCCUCAGAGGAGAGAAUGCAGUUAUCACUAUCCCAUUUGCACUGCAGAACUCUCUCAGCUUCUUCUGUUGCCAUGCAAGAUUCAUCUCCACCUGAAAUAGUUGUUGAAUUACAAAUAAACAUUAAUUCAUCUUAUCAAGAACCAUUUCACAUAAACAAAAACAACACAAACAAGAUUAUUACUUGAUUCACCACAGGACGGAUGGU